UCCUCUGAGGCUGCUCGAGUUGCUCUUCAGUGCUUCAAGGGGGAAGAAAGACCAGAAAAAUAAUAAGGCUUUGUAUGAGUGGUUUAGGGGACUGUGGUCAUCCCUGUCACCAUGGAGCUGCUCAUAGAAUCAGGCACACAAGGACAAAGCAACGAGUAAGGAGAAUGGAGGAGAAUUCAGUACACAUUUGAUAUUGAACAGGAAGGGUCUCCAUGGUGGACUUCUGAGCAGCCAUAGAAACAGUAUUUAGGUCUGGAUACAAAGGAAAUAUUAUGCCCCGAUUAAUUUUCUGCAUCGCUGAAAUGGAGCUUCUGUCAAACGGGGAAGGCAGACAUUGCUGAUGCUGAAGAGCCAUCCCAGAACCAAGCCUGCAGCACUGUUUGGGAACAAAAGGAUGUCUAAAUUGUUUAGCAAGAUUCAUUAACACCACGACAGCCCCACUGCUGACUGAGAGCUUCCAAUGGCCACUUCACAGAGCAGCCAUCCUGAAACGAGCUGAGUCAGUGAGAAAAGGCAAGGGCUGAGGCACCCCUAACUCCAGGAGAGCAGCAGGCAUUAUAAAGAAGGAAAACAUUUUUCAUUUUUAUGAGGAAUAAGGAAGUGGAGAACGCGUAGAGCUUCACAACGAUGUGGUAAUGGUGUCCUAACACUCAAAACGUUUGUGGAGAAGGUACUUCUGAAACACUGUCCUGGUCACCAAAGGGGGAAGCAAAGUGCCUGGCUCCACAUGAAGUAAAGGUUUAAAUUAGAGACUGGCAAAGCUUCCUAAUGAAGAAUACUUAAUCAGUGAACCUGGCUGCUAAGGGAAGCUGUAAAAUGUAAGUUCUAAAGGACCAAUUAGACUAACACCUGUCUGAAAGGAGCACAGCAGGAUUCUGCCUCCUUGCAGCAAAAAUGGACUUAAAGCCACUAUCAUAUUGCAGUGCUCCUGAACCUCACUCACAUUCAAAAAUCUCAUUUUUCUAUGAACGUAUAUCCCCACACUGUAAGGAGGUCCUCCAAACUCAGCUGCUUCCAGCACGUUUCACUUGUACAGCAGUAGUCUGUCUGAAAAAUAACAAUUGUAAAUCUACAUCUUGUCAGAUCGAAGUCCUCUUAUAACCAAGUCAUGAGGAUUAAAGUUAGCUUCAUUCUUCUGAGUAGAGCAUCCCUCCCGAGGGAAAAAGAUGCACUGUGACUUGUGAGCUGGUACUGCAUCUGAGCUCACUUAGGGAAAUCUCACUCCUAUAACCUUCUUCAUGUAGCAGAGGGGUUUGAGGAUGAAGAUCCUUGAGGAGAGGGGCGGAUUAUUUCCCUGCAGCUCUCAGUGAGGUACACAAAGUUUUUCCCUAAAGUUUCCUAACCUGACUGAUUUGGUUUCCUGGUGCAUUGCAUGAGCAGUGUGGACAUGCAGUUCACAAUUCUGGGUUUCCAUCCAGAAGCCAGGAUCCUUCACACCACACUCAGCGCUGCUUCCCAGGCCUCCAAAUCAUUGCCUGCAUUCUUAGUCAAGAGUUACAAGAAUGAUAACGGGCACUGUAAGUCAGCAGUACCCCCUUCAAUAAGAUAAAGCAGCUGUGUUGGCUCUGGAGUAGCUUAACUUUAGACUUUGAGUAUGAUGAAUUAUUGUUUAAGGAGAUGCAUUCGUAAUUCUGUUCCUCCCAAGCAGGUGGUUGAUAUUUUGAGAUCCCUGCUGUAUCAGCACUGUGUAUAUUUGGCAUAGAAACUGCAUGAAUAUUACAAAUUCUAUAUUUAAUUGAGUCUCAUAAUGAAACCCUGUAAAUCAUAGUCAGCCCAUCGAACUAAACAGGAAAUUGAUAUGUUGAGGUGUUAAAUAAUGUUGUUUUUUCCACCCCUCCAGGUUAGGCAAAACUUGAUCGCUUCCCUAAGAAGGCAAAAACGAUGGCAGAGUCAGACAUAGUUGAUGUAGUUCUUUAUCUGAAAGUAACAUGAAAACCCUCAUUCCUAACAAAAAUACUGAGUAAUGUGAUGGAGCACCUUUACCUACAACAGCUUCCCUGGGUCAGGUCUCUGUCAGAGCACAGUGCCAACUUCUUGUUCAGGACACACCCUAAGCUUCCCUACUUGUUUUUCACCUUCCUCAAAAUAUUGCUGAUUCCUUCUUACAAGUAUUUUGGCAAAAAAAAAAAA